rnacentral:tRNA from 1 species
GGCUUAUAUUAAGAGUAGGUUGCAAAUCUAUUCAAGCUUAAAGCGUAAGCCU